rfam:Nitrospirae bacterium RBG_19FT_COMBO_58_9 rbg_19ft_combo_scaffold_2886, whole genome shotgun sequence.
GGGGGCGACCGGAAUCGACGGGGAUACUAAAGUCAGCGGUGCAUGUCGAGCUCUCGGGGUCUCGUAAAUCCUCCGGGAAAAUGUAACUGCAAACCAAGAAUUUGCACUCGCAGCUUAAAUAACUGCGACGUUCCUCCACCUGAGGCCCGCGGGGGUGGUCGGAGCGCGAUACAGCGGGCUGGUCCAAAGCUGGUGCUCAGCGGCUGAGGACGAGACAAUACUGGGCUAGUGGCCAGUCUAAGCCAGCCGAUGGGCGUGGGUGGCUGCGAAAUUAAAACGAUCGGCUACACAUGUAGAUCGGUUGUGCUGAAGGUCUUCGGACCGGGCUUCAACUCCCGGCGCCUCCACCA